GAUGAAGAACGUAGCGAAAUGCGAUACUUGGUGUGAAUUGCAGAAUCCCGUGAACCAUCGAGUCUUUGAACGCAAGUUGCGCCCGAAGCCACUAGGCCGAGGGCACGCCUGCCUGGGCGUCACACGCCGUUGCCCCCCCAUCUACUCCUUCGGGAUUGCGGGGGGGCGGAUGAUGGCCUCCCGUGCGCCUAGCCGCGCGGUUGGCAUAAAUACCAAGUCCUCGGCGACGCACGCCACGACAAUCGGUGGUUGCGAAACCUCGGUUGCCCGUCGUGUGCGUUCGUCGCGCAUCGAGGGCUCGAAAAAAUGCUCGGCUCCGGCUGGGCUUUCAACGCGACCCCAGGUCAGGCGGGGUUACCCGCUGAAUUUAAGCAUAUCAAUAAGCGGAUGA
rnacentral:misc_RNA from 1 species